rnacentral:misc_RNA from 1 species
GAUGAAGAACGUAGCGAAAUGCGAUACGUAAUGUGAAUUGCAGAAUUCAGUGAAUCAUCGAAUCUUUGAACGCAUAUUGCGCUCUCUGGUAUUCCGGAGAGCAUGCUUGUUUGAGUAUCAGUAAACACCUCAACUUCCAUAUCUUUCUUGAAAUGGGAGUUGGACUUGAGUGAUCCCAACGCUUUUCCUCACCGAAAAGUGGCGGGUUACUUGAAAUGCAGGUGCAGCUGGACUUUUCUCUGAGCUAUAAGCAUAUCUAUUUAGUCUGCCUAAAAAACAGAUUAUUACCUUUGCUGCAGCUAACAUAAAGGAGAUUAGUUCUUGUGCUGACUGAUGCAGGAUUCACAAAGACAGGCUUCGGCCGACUUUGUAAACUCGAUCUCAAAUCAAGUAAGACUACCCGCUGAACUUAAGCAUAUCAAUAAGCGGAGGA